rnacentral:rRNA from 1 species
GAUGAACGCUGGCGGCGUGCCUAAUACAUGCAAGUCGAGCGAACGGACGAGAAGCUUGCUUCUCUGAUGUUAGCGGCGGACGGGUGAGUAACACGUGGAUAACCUACCUAUAAGACUGGGAUAACUUCGGGAAACCGUAGCUAAUACCGGAUAAUAUUUUGAACCGCAUGGUUCAAAAGUGAAAGACGGUCUUGCUGUCACUUAUAGAUGGAUCCGCGCUGCAUUAGCUAGUUGGUAUGGUAACGGCUUACCAAGGCAACGAUGCAUAGCCGACCUGAGAGGGUGAUCGGCCACACUGGAACUGAGACACGGUCCAGACUCCUACGGGAGGCAGCAGUAGGGAAUCUUCCGCAAUGGGCGAAAGCCUGACGGAGCAACUCCGCGUGAGUGAUGAAGGUCUUCGGAUCGUAAAACUCUGUUAUUAGGGAAGAACAUAUGUGUAAGUAACUGUGCACAUCUUGACGGUACCUAAUCAGAAAGCCACGGCUAACUACGUG